rnacentral:lncRNA from 1 species
UAAAUAGCAACUAAUGAUAUCAGAGCGAGUAAAGUUCUAUCAUCUAAACCAGAGUAAAAGAAACAUAACUAGACAAUGAAAGUAACGCAUAAGUGAUACAAUGCUAUAUCCUCAAAAGGAAUACAAAGAUCCAAAAGAAGGGUGGUCUCUAUACAUAUACGGGUACAACUCUCAACCUCUCACAAAAUAAAACAACGAGAGGUAGACCACCUAUCGACUCGUCCUCGAAGGAAGCUAGCUCGAAGCAACCCCCUUCCCGCGGUCCCUAGCCUCUCCCGGCGUGGAAGGCUCUGAAAGAAAACAUAAAACAUAGGGCGUGAGAACUAUAAUUUAUAGUUCCCAGUGGGCAAUUACUGACCUCAGCUCAAUGCACCACUAAGCCCAAAAAGGAAGGGGUAAGUAACGACAAUAAUAGGCAAUGAGUAAAUUUCAUUUACGAAAGCAUAAUUAAAAGCUACACUAAUGCAUUGCAAUUAAACAUGGCAUUUAUAUAAUGCACCUUUACCUCGUCAUGAAUACUAUGCCUCUACAUGACCACAUGGGAUAUCAUGAGAUACUUUAUGAAGCUAAGAAAGUAAUACUUUUCAUGACUACAGUGCAUAUAAAAGGCAAUAAACAACAUCUCCUAGCAUACUAUAUGCAUGUAUGAAUACCCAAAUGUCCACAUCUAUGCUAGAAGCAAGCCCAAGUAAUCCAACUACUACUCUCUAUCUAGGGGUUAUCACACACUCAACAUUGUGUCGGUUUCCAAUUCCAAGUAGGGACCUACCCAAGGUAGUCCAGCUUGUGCCGCCUAAGUGCCUGUGGUAGCCCAACAUCCCUACUCUUGGAAUGUAUCUGUCCCACUCGACCCCGUAGGCUUCUCAAUACCGCACGAGCGAACAUAGUCGCGUAGGCUAACUCCGGAGUGCCGGCUUGUAGGGAGCGACCCUCACAAGCAUGUGCGAAUGAGCACAAAUGGCAAGCAAGCAUAGUCCAAGUCUCAACUGUCCAAUCCUCAUGUCUCAAGCAUUGUAGUAGCUACUAGUAACCCAACGAUCUAGCUCUAUGUCACAAAGUGAUAUCACAACACUCACUUGCUUAGUGCCUCUUUAUGACACUUAAGCAUCAUAACUAAUCAUGCCCAAUUCAUGUUCCAUAUUUCAAUUAAGACGAUAAUAGCAAGGUUCACUUUAGCCCGGGCCUAAUGCCUCUUUAUGACAUUUGCCCAAUCUCUCAAAUAGUCUAAGUCCUUAAGCCUCUCUAGGCUUCCAAAAAUCCCUAAUGUCACAAUUGGCCUAUAAGCUAAACGCAUAAAAGCAAGGUUCAUUUUCAUAAUAGGGAUCUUAGUUUCAAUCUCAACCAGCAUGCUAUCUCACACAUGCAUGCUCUCUACUACAUAGAGGUCCAAAAUUUUACUAUAUGUAACAUGGACAUUUUAAGCAUUCAAAAAAUCACAAUAAAUACAUAUAACAAGAAUAUGCAUGCUUUUUCAUUUUACGACAUUUAAAACAUCAACAAUGGGAUUUUCCCAUUGUGUGUGUCACGCCCCGCGACCCGCCAAUUUUGCCAGAUCCGGGCGCGUCGAACAGACUCCGGACGAACAGCACCUCCCCUGUCCGCCCAAGGCUAACAACGAGAUUGUGUACAACAAGUUCCCAGGAAAAAUAACUUGAAUACAUACACAAUCGAUAACUACAACGAGAGCACAAUCAGUGCAAAACAACCAAGAGCAAUAUACAAGUAAUGAUAAAGAGAGGAACAUCUAUCUAUUACAUUCAUUCAACCUUUAUAAUACAAUUUGAUUAUACAUUAAGCUUCUAAACAUAAUAUAAAGCUUACAUCUUCCAAAAUAUAAACAUCAGCUUACAUUCAUUCCAGAAUAUCUCACAUUAGCUCUUGGAGCCGCUCGAUCUGACUUCCUUGGCGUUGAAUCACGCCGAUAAGCGUAGUCAUCUGCGCUCGUAAUUCUUGCACUUCACUUGACCCAGCUCGCUCAGGCACCUCGGGAGGCGGUGCCGGAACGGUUCUACGCGCGUAGUGUCUCCUUGGUGCCAUUAGCUCCUGACACACAACGACUCGAUUAAUUACCUUAACCUGCUAACCUCGUCGCAACUAUUAGACGACGCGACUCAAUCGGGCGAAAGUCAUACAAGGGUGCCUAUUCUCACCACUCAGUUUCAUGUUGUAUGCAUCCAACAUGAACACCCUCAGGUGAGAAUAAACAAAACCUUGAGUCCACCUCUAACAUCCGUCUUAGAGGUUUACCAACUCGACCCAAUCGAUCCAACUUUCGCCAUCGUAUAGGUCCACGUCACUCACGCACCUAUAACCUUAGGGUUCACCAUCCUAGGGUCUCCUAGGUCCAUCCUAAACUCUCUCUUUACUUGCUCUUAAUUGCUCUGAUACCACUUUAUCUGUCACGCCCCGCGACCCGCCAAUUUGGCCAGAUCCGGGCGCGUCGAACAGACGCCGGACGGACAGCACCUCCCCUGUCCGCCCAAGGCUAACAACGAGAUUGUGUACAACAAGUUCCCAGGAAAAAUAAACUUGAAUACAUACCAAUCGAUACUGACACGAAGCACCAGAAUCAGUGAAAAACAAACCAAGAGGCAAGAUACAACUAUAUGAACAUACAAGUAAUGAUAAAGAGAGAACAUCUAUCUAUUACAUUUCAUUGCAGCCUAUUAUAAUGACAAGUUUGAUAUAUACAUUAAUUCUUCAAAAACAAUAAUAUAUAACGCUGUACAUCUUUGCCAAAAUAUAAACUUAGCUUACAUUCAUAUCGAGAAUAUCUACAUCAUAUACCAUCAAUCUACUCUCAUGCAAUAAAGGUGACUCUAAUGAGAAUAUGGAAAGUAAUACUAAUUGCAUACUAGGCGCUAGGCUCCUUUACCGUGAUUCUUGCCAGUGUGAACUCGCGCUCGGCCUAUAGUAAAAUGGGGGUGAGAACUAACUUCCUUAGUUCCAGUGGUUCGGCCGCCGACUCCGCCGAUCCGCCCACUAGGUCCAAGCGGGCAAAAGUAGAUAAUCGAUAGAUAGAUAGAGUAAGGAAGCGGUAAAUGACAGAAGUAAAGCUCACUACUAUGUGCCAAUCUAAUAUAUAUGAAUGCAUGUACAAUGAAAUAGGUAAGCAACCUCACACUGUCAUCACCCAAAGGUAAAGCUAUUCACUCGUUCGUUUUCCUCAUUUACCUUGUUCUUAAAUCUCGUGGCUUCCCUGAAGGAGCCUCCUGCUCACUAGCCAUUCUCGAAGAUAGGGAGGGUCAACUCGCACUACGAACUGGGAGACCGUCUGUGUGACCAAAAUAGGUAAUCCUUGGGGACCGGCAAUAGGCGAUCCACAGUGACGACACCCGGAGCGCACUACUUGUGUGGGCUUCCAUCACAAGAUUUAAACAGACGCGUGAGCAUGAUCCAAUCCUCUAAGUCUCGAGGAGUACCCUGUCCUCUAAGGGCUCACCAUGCAUCAUAUAGUCCAUAAUUCAUAAUACACUACGAUCACAUAUGUCACUUGUUCUUUUGUUUACUAUCAACUAGAUGCCACUCGUUCUUUACAAGUUUCCAAUGCAAUAGCCAAUACAUUACUAAAUUCCCAUCCACACUUAUCAUCUCAUUAUAGGGUUCCACAUCACAUAUAUAAACCUCAAGCAUGCUAGAUAUAAGUACUAAGCCAAAUACAUUGUUCUACCAAAGAACAUGCAAGGUAUAGGACCAAACCAUCAUUUAUCACCCUAUAAUGCAAGAUGUCAAUAUGUCAAUAUGCAAUUUGAUCAAUAUAAAACUUAGACAUAGAAGGGAGUCCGGUUGCUUCGGGAUGGACACCACCCACCUUUUUAUCGCGUUCCGAUUGCUCGUCGUCACUCGCAAUCGGCCUCCCGCGGCGCACGCUGCACGGCUCGACCCCACUCACAUGCGACCGUCAAAUGACCACCGAUUUGCGAUCCGUAAAUUAAAGGCCUUCGGUUUCUUGUCACGAUGCUUCAAAUCCGUUUCCAGGAUUUUACGACGUCGCCUCGGCCCUCCAGGCGGAAACGAAGCCUAAACGUCCGUUUCUUUAAUAACUUUGCACCGGCUCGACGAAUCGCCGAACCGUCGCUUCCAACACGUUCAGUGACCUAUCAAUUUGGUUUACGGAGGGUCAAAUGAGAUCAAACCCUUAUAUUUCCAAAAAUUACAUUUUUGAGCCUUAAGAUACACUAUUGCAAGAAUUCAUCAUAUGAUCCCUUAAUUCAUACAAUAGUCAUCCAUUUAGCAUCUAAGGAUUCCUCUAAAUCAAUUCUUAGAGCAUAUAAUUAAAGCUCUAAAGAUCUAUCAUUAUAAACCUAGCCUCUACACAUGCUCCAAUUAAUCCAAAUUAAAUGGAUUUAACAUACUAAUCAACACAUUAGAGGCUAUUGGAACACUAAGCAUUAAGGAUUAAACCAAAUCCUAGCUUAAAUUAUGAGAUCUCACCUUAGACCACCAUUCACAUCAAGCUAAAUCCACUAUUGGAAAGCUUGCUUCCACCAUUAGAGAGAGCUUCAACUUAAAGCUACUCUAAUCUUCUCCAAGCUUGCUUCAAUUUUUUUCUUUCUUUUCUUCUCCAAUCCUCUCUUUGGUGUAGAGAGAGAUUUUUUCUCUUUGCUUGUGAGUGUGAAUAAUGAGAGGAAAGAAAGCCCAAGUCCUAUAUAUACAUAGAGUGGAAACUUGCUCUCCAAGUUUCCUAUGAAACUUGCUCUCCAAGUUUCCUAUGAAGCUUCCAAAAACACUAUUCACUCCAGGGGACUUAAAACUGACAUUUUUUUUUUGCCGGAGCCCUUCUGAACAUCCGUUUGAGCUCAAAUUUGGCAGGCAGGCUCGAUUUUUCUUAAUAAGUCCGAAGAAAUUUUAAUCUUUCAGUUUCGACCACGUUUGGUCAUCGAAAAUUGUGCCGAACUGUAAUCUUAAUCAGAUAACUUUCGGAUUUUAUUUCUCACUCUACGGGUGUCAGAAUGACAUGAAACUUUAUAUCUAGCCUCAUAAAUAUAUUUCUGACAUAUCCUCCAAUUUUUAUAAUUUUCUGAGACUGUGCAUUUUCUGCUAAUUUUUCUAUCCCGUUUCCAACAGAAAAUUCUAGAUCUUCUGUUUUCAUCCCGAUUUCAGCACAAGUCACUUCUGACUUAUAUUUUACUUCUCUAAAUCCAAUAAAAAUAGUAUCUCACACUAUUUUUAUUUAUUUUUACUUUUAUAUUAAAGAUCCGACAUGUUACAUUCCACCGCAGCCUCACCGGAACCAUUUAAAUGGCUUUCCAAUCGAACGUACACCGUAACCUCAUGAUUUUCGAAGUCUGGUACCUUACAGUGUGGCUAGGUCAAACCCACCGAACCGUCGCGUAGUGUCUCGUUUCGCCGAACGGAGUUGUCCACGAGUCUCCAAAUACCCUAAAAGUAUUGAGCGAAGAGAUACACGGGCAUUACGAUCAACUAUAAGAUCAAACAUUAAUCUAGAAGCAAAAAGGCCAAAACUCACCUCAAAAGAAGAAAUCUCUUCCAAAACUCCAAAAGAGUGCUAGAACCCUUCCAAUCCAACCAAAUGGAAGAAUCUAAUUCAAUCAAUCUAGCUCCAAAAGCCCUAGAUUCAAAACGCCCAAAAUAAACCCUAAGUUCACAUUCUAAGGUUUCAUAAGGUAAAACCUACCAAAACAAGGAUCAAAGGUUAGAAUCAUAAUACUAACCUCCCAAGAUGCCUCCAAACAAGCUCCAAAUCUUCUAGGGUCAAAGAUUGGCCCACCACCAAGCUCUACAAGCAAGCUCCAAGCCAAGCAAGGGUGGAAGGAGAGAAAGGGGUUGAGCUCCAAGCUCCCUCAAGCAAGCUCCUCUUCUUCUCCUCCUCCUUCUCCUUCUUCUCUCUCUAGAAGGUGUAGGGAGAUGGUGAGAAAUGAGGAGGGAAGAGAGUGAAAUGGCCGUAUAGACCAUUUAGAGCAACAAAAUCCAGAGAGGCCCCUCAAAAACUCAAAUUUACAACAGCCCGGUCUGGGCAGUUUUCGCCCAGAGGGACCGGUCUCUCCCUGCAAGGGACCGGUCUCUCGUGUCGAACCCGAGAAACCAUUGUUCGGGAACCGGUCUCUCCCCGCGCAGGACCGGUUGCCUUGCCGGCUGCGCACACUGCUCACUGGGGGACCGGUCUCUCCUUCCAGGGACUGGCCCCCGAGAGUGAAAACUCUCAGGACUUGUCCAGAGUUCCAGUUUUCGAACUUUUUAGGUCGAAAAAUAUUCUACAACCCUCCACCAAGUGUGGAAAAGCUAGAACCACAUCCAAUCACUUGAACCUCGCAAUUUGCAAAGGUCCAGUGUGUCACACUUGUGUAGGCCCUAAAACAAAACUGAACAAUGAUAUCAAUCCGUAAUGAUAAUCACUACUAGAUAGGGUGUAGUAGUUGGAUUACCUUGACAUGCUUCAUGCAUAGCUUCGGACAUUUAAGACCUGUAGUAUACUUGGUAAUAACGCUCAUUGCAUUAUAGUAUACUUGUUUGGCACGUGGGAUCAUACUAGUUAUGUAUUGGACAUACUUGAUCAUGGUAGAAUGAAUGUACAACAUAUUGUCAUCAUGUUAUUUAUGGCAUAGUAGUUUAGCAUUUAUACAUGCUUUCAUAUCUGCAGCUUAUUUCUAUUGCUUUUCGUAUCUAUUUUAUUCUUUUGGGCCUAGCAGUGCAUUGUGCUGAGGUCAGUAAUUGCCUACUGGGAACUAUAAAUUAUAGUUCUCGCGCUCCCUAUUUUUUGUUUCCUUUUAGAGCCUUCCACACCGGGUGAGGCUAGGGACCACGGAAAGGGUAUCGCCUCGAGCUAGCUUGUUGGCGAGGGACUUAUCGAUAGGUGGUCUAUCUCUCAUUGGUUUUAUUUUGGAGAGGUUGAGAGUUGUACCUGUGUAUAGAGACUACCCCUUUUUGUAUCUUGAGACAGUUGAUGUAUUUACCUUAUGUUUUAAAUUAGUGGAUUAGUUUCCUUUCCCUCUACUUGUUGUUAGUAUUUAGCUGAUGGUUGCUCUGAUAUCUCUAGUUGUCUUACUUCUGCUUGCUUUUAUAUCUCUAUUGUUGUAGACGCCUUAUAUGUGCAGGCAUAUGGCAGGUCUGGGCACGCACUGGGCGGGUCUACGCCGGGUCCCGGGUCGUGACAGAAUGUCUAACAAUAAAGAAUGGCAAUAAUAGAGAGUAAAAUCUUUUAAUCUACUUGCAUAGUUGCAUGAAUUUCAUAUUGCAUAUUGUGAGGCACAUUCAUAUAUUUUAAUGUUGCAUAAAAUACUUGUGGAUAUCUGUUAAGUCUUGUAUGUUGGCAAGUUUCGUGGAUUGAGUCGGAGUCUUGAAGGUUUCGGAGCACAUCGUCGAAAGAAUGAAGAAUCCAAGACUUCGGAGAAGGCGGAGAUAACUCACGACAUGAAUCACGAUGCUCAGGUAAAAUCUUUACUUCAUGUUAUGGUGAUUCAUACUUAGUUAUAGGCAUUAGAAUCAUUGUUAUCCAUAUUUAAUUGAUUAGAAAGUGCUUCGGAACUCUGCGGAACCCGAAACAGUGCUAAGUCUAAAAAAUGCACUGUGUACCGCUACAGCAAUUGACCCGUACCGGUACAGCCAUCGACUUUAGCUUUCAAAUUUUUGUUCCAUCAUUGUGUAACCGGUGACAGCCUCACGUGUACCGAUACACUGUGUAAAAUUGUGAAAACUUUCUAAUCCGACUCCGAUUGAUUCUAAAGUCUAUAAAUAAGCUAUUAGGGUUCUUUAACUGAGCAAGCAUCACAAAAAUACAUGUUUGAGAAACCCUAGAUGCUUGGAUUUCAUCUAAAACCUAUUUUCUACAUUUUAGCCUCUUUAAGGUCAAAUCGAGAUAUUGAAAUUUCAUAUCUAUAUGUCGAUUUGAUCUUCGCUUCGCUUGGAGUUCUCUUUCCUGGUUUUCAUCGAUACUCUAAGCGAAGGAUCACCAUACACAUGAUGUUCUUCAUGACACAUGAUGUUCUGCAUGACGGCGUCGUGGAUUCGGCGUGAUUGACGGCGGUUCGUGGUUUCGGAUCGAGAGCUUCGUGGAUUCAGAGUGGAGGCGUUUCGUGGAUUCGGAACGAGGCGUUCGUGGAUUCGAACAUGUGGGCGUGGACAACCCGGAGGAUUGCGCGAGAUUCAUAGGAGGUUAAGAGAUGUUGAGUACGUGGAGUCGGUAAUCACCUUGUAAUCUUUUCUCUUAGUGAAUUAUUUUUUCGCGUGUUGGUCCCGUGCGGUUUUUCUCCAAGUUGGAGUUUUCCCACGUAAAUCUCGGUGUGAUUUUUAUUUUCCGCAUUUAUUUUUAUCGCAUUGAAAUUUGUGGGUUUUGGCUAUUACACCUAUUCACCCCCCUCUAGGUGUUAGAUACAAUCUAGAUAGAUCCUUGGGCUCCUCAAAACUUUCAAUUGGUAUCAGAGCGGGAUCUAGAUAAAUUGUUAUCUAAUGGCCGAAGGUGGAAACAUUAAUCGACCACCGCUCUUCGAUGGCACAAACUAUGCCUAUUGGAAAGUUCGCAUGAGAGCUUUUCUAAUCGCAAUCGAUGAGCGCGUUUGGCAAAUAAUAGAAUUUUGAUGGAAACAUCCUAUUGAAAAGGUCGAGAAUGUUGAAACGCCAAAACCACGAAACAAGUGGACAAAAGAUGAAAACGGGGCAUCUUCGUUUAACGGCAAGGGCAUAAAUGCUUUAUUUAAUGCAUUGUCUCAAACGAAGUUUAUUCGUGUUUUAGCGUGUGGAACCGCCAAAGAAAUUUAGGAUACUCUAUAAGUUACGCAUGAAGGAACGAGCUUAGUAAAGGUUCAAAAAUUGCAAUUGUUAACAAGUAAAUUUGAGUCAAUUUUUAUGGACGAAAAUGAGACCUUUACCGAGUACUAUACGCGUCCACAAGACGUUGUGAAUACAUGCGCUAACUUUGGAGAGAAAAUUCCGAAUUCAAAGGUUGUUAGAAAGAUUCUUCGAACUCUUCCGGAAUGCUUUCGGGUAAAGGUUGCCGCGAUCGAAACCGUUAAGCAUCCGGACGAGAUGAAAGUCGAAGAAUUAGUAGGCGCUUUACAAACGUAUGAGAUGGACUUUCCUACUAACCCAUCUUCUUCCAAGUCUUUUUCUAAAAGCACAGGGGUUGCACUCAAAUCAACAAAGAAAGAAGAAGACGACUCAGAUUCCGCUGGAGAUAUUUCGCUCGCCGAUUUUGAACAUCAACUUGCACUCCUCACGAAGAAGUUCCGACGGAAUUUCCAAAAGAAGAACAAUUCGGACAAGGCUUCAUCUUCGAAGCAUAAAUCUUUUUCUAAACAAUCUUCAAGUUCUACAUCUAAGGAUAAAAAACUUGCAAAGUCUUCGAAAGAAAAAGAUGAAUUUGAAGGCGAAAUUCAAUACUACAAAUGCAAAGGCUACGGCCAUAUUGCAACGGAUUGUCCUUCAAAGAAGACUUAUAAGCAAAAGGCUCUGCAAGCUAAGAUUUGAGAUGAUUCUUCUUCUAGUGAAUCAUCUUCAACGGCCAUGUUGCUUUAUUUACUAACACUUCUUUAUCUUCGUCUAACAUUGUUUGUUUAUCCUCACUUGUUUCUAAUUCCAAUGUUUCUCUCUCUUCGCAUGGGUCUUCGAGCAACAAUGGCGAAAGCGAGGAGAAAUCAAACGACGAGGAUAUAGCGGAAGCAUACAACCAACUUCUUAUUAAUUCGAAAAAGAUGACCAAGCUCAAUAAGAAGUUGAGGCGAUGAUUAUUGGACAUUGAAGAGGAAAACAAAAAUUUGAAGACCAUGAAUAAAGCUCUUGAGGAGGAAAGGGAAGCAAUAUUGAAAAAUAAUUCGAUCCUCCAAAAGAAGCUAGAGGAAGAGGAAUUAACGGUCAAAUCAUCUAAAGACAAGAUUGGAUUUUUGGAGCAUCAAUUUUAGGAAAUUCAUGCAUCCAAUCAAGUCUUAACUAGUCAAGUUUGUCAACUCAAAUCCAAUCUUCAAAAAUUUUCUUCUGGAUCAAAGAAACUAGAUCUGUCACGCCCCAAUCCCCGCCAAUUUGGUCGGGUUCGGGUCACGUCAACAGACGCCAAACGGACAGAGCCUCCCCUGUCCGCCCAAGGCUCUAACAACAUGUAUAAAUAGACAAUCAACAAGAGAAUUGCAUAUAUAAUACAAGGCUUCCACGAGGGCAAGCAACAACGGAAGCGAAAGCUCUAAGCUAAAUAUACAUCACACAUGAUAUUUGAUUUCAUUUAAACCAAAUUCAAGUAAACAAAGCUAUUACAUUCCAUUCAACCAUCAUAUCUUUUACAUUUAGUCAUCCACCAAAUACAUGAUUGUUUACACUUUUCAUUCCUAAAUCAACAAAAUAAAGUUGAUACAUGUAUAACAAAAGGGAAUGACUACAAAAUGUAUAAAGUCCCGGUAGCCGCUACCUACGGCGCUAAACCCUUGCCUCGGUCCUCCGCCGCCCCGCUCGUGCUAGGACCUGUAGGGUUAGUGGUGUGAGAACUAAACAAAGUUCCCAGUGGGCUCGGCAACCGACCUCGCCGACUUACCCACUAGGUCCAUCCAGGCAUAAGUAUUUCAAAGGAGAAAAAGUAACCACUACUAAUGCAACUAAUACUAUGCCUGCAAGAAAGAAGUCAGUAGAUAUAUAAUUUCAAUGCGAUAAUGGAAAUGCAUGCAUGCUCCAAUCAUAAUCAAACUUUGGCUCUUACCCAAUCUUACCGGUUAACUCUGUUAACCCCAAUAACUCACAACCUAAAAUCCCUUAAUAACGGGGGACUCGAACCUCCCUAGGGACCGUCAACUGGUGGGACUUUACCACGCCCAGUGGUGACCAACUCCGGAGCGCACCGCUCGAGGGGGAGCGACCUCCCUCAAGCCAAGACGAAAUGUGAGUAUCGAUCUAAUCCUCAACUUGAGGACUCAUAGCCACUAGUCACAAUGCCAAUGUCACGAUAGGUCUCUACCUAUUCAUUCUUGCCACUCUCAAGGCUUUACCUUUGACGAUGUCAAAAUGGGUUAAACUAUAUUUAACGGUUCAUCUCUCAAUGCAAAUCUUGUUUCUAUGUCAAUGUCACCCUUGUUUUCUAUUGUCCAAGUCCAUUCUCACAUUCACACAACUUGAGGGUCCAAUCACACAUGUCCAUUUUGGUUCUAUCAUUCUCUAUGUUCAACUACGUUAGAAGCAUAUAAAUGAAGUCAAACCAAGUUCCACAUGUAACUACCCUACUAUGCAUGAAUGGGUAUUUAUAAAACAUAUAUGCUCAAGAAUAGAGAAAACAGACAUAGAAGGGAAUCCAACGAUUCCGGCGUGCACCCCCCACCUCUAUUGGUCGUGUGGGUGUAGAAUAUGAAGGCUCCCGCACUUUACGAAAGCCGAUUCCGCGCCCUAUAAUCAAAAUAGUGCCAUAUUAGGCCUUUUUGUACAUGAACUAUACUCUAUCAUUUUCGCAAUGUUAAACGAAGUUGUCCCACGCGUUUAGGACACCCCCAAUUAGGUUUCUACGGGGUCAAUUUGUCCCCGAAAAAUCCUAGGGCAAAAGCCCCAAAUCCAAUCCCUAAUAUUGUCAUUUAGGGUUUUCUCAUAAAUCGAUCCCAACCUUAAGCAAACAAUAGCUUAGGAUCAUCUAAGAAGCACUCUAGUAAGAUUUCUAGACCUUUGGUACCAACCCUAGGGCUCCAAACACCACUUCCAAGGAUUCACCAUGAGAGCACUUUAAGCUCUCAUGGGAACCAUGGUGUACAUGGCUCAAAAGAGCCUUUAAAGCCUCUAGGGAGCACAAAGCUCCCAUCUUCUAAGCCAAAAUCCAAACCCUAGGCUCAUUUCUACCAAAAACUCACCUUAGCCCUAGCUCCUCCAAGUCCUUCUUGUAGGAGAGCUUGUAGAACCCUCCGAAGCCUCCAAAUCCUUCUCCUCUUCACUUCUUCUUCUUCUUCUCCAAGCCCUAGAGCAAGAGUUCUAGAGAGAGAAAGAGAGGGAAUGGGAGAGAAGGGUGAAAAUGGCUGUGGGAGAGAGGGGUUGAGUCAUAUAUAGUGUUGUAACAAUUGCACUUAAGCCCCUCCACUUGUUUUCUCUUGAACUGCCCAGACUGGGCAUUUUUCACCUUUUGGGACCGAUCUCCCCGACCAGGGACCAGUUCCCAAACGGGGGUUUUCCAGGACUUAGCCAAAUUUUCGAGUUUUUUAUCUGUUGCGCAACGAGGGACCGGUCUGCCCGUCAGGGACCAGUCUCCCGAGGACCGGUCUCACCACCAGGGACCGGAUGCCUCAGGAUUUCCUGGCAGGCUACGCGCACGGGGACCGGUCUCACCACCAGGGACCGGAUGCCUCAGGAUUUCCUGGCAGGCUACGCGCACGGGGACCGGUCUCUCCUUCAAGGACCGGUCCCCGAGAGCUCAAAAUCUGGGACUUAGCCAGAUUUCCAAAUUUGCUCUCCGGGUCCCUUUUUGCUCCGUUUAUGAACUCCAAUGCACUUUGGGUCCACUUUAACUCGUUCAAUUUCGCGUUCCGCUCGUGUUGACGGAACUCGAUACGAUUUACGAGGGAUGUGGUAUGUUACAAGAUCAUAUGCUCGAAUUGGGUAAAACAAACAAGUUGGGUCUCGGUUAUAAAAGGACAUAUGCUCAAGUCUUAACUGGUCAAGUUUGUCAACUCAAAUCCAAUCUUCAAAAAUUUUCUUCUGGAUCAAAGAAACUAGAUCAUAUGCUCGGAUUGGGUAAAACAAACAAGUUGGGUCUCGGUUAUAAAAGGACAUAUGUUGAGAAGGAUCAAACGGCGACUUCUAAAGUCUCAACAACUUUAAAGGACAAAGUGUGUCAUAGGUGUGGAAUUAAAGGUCACAUCAAAAGGAAUUGCCCGGUGAAAGAUAAGAAGAAUCAUUCGGCAACUCCUAAAGCUCAAUCGGCACCAUCUACGACUCGACAUCCCCAAUGGAAUCAAAAGAAAGAUCAAUUGAAUCAAGCAUCGCAAGCAAACCGGAUUUCUCAGCCACAACGCCAAGGUCAACCUAAAUCGCAAGCUAUAAGGGUUCUUAAGCCUCAAGCAACGAAACGACCAACGGUUGAUCAAAAAUCAAAGCGAACAGCACCUAACGUCGACAAGACAAGACAAUGCAAAAUCCGACAAGUUUGGAUUCGGAAAGGUGAUAUCUUUCCUUGUUAUACGUCUUAGUUCGUUUUUGUUUUUUUAUGUAAAUGCUUUGAUUGGUGCUUGUUGCAUAUUUUUAUUUAUUGCAUAUAUUUAGACAAUUUUUGGUGCUUGAAUUUUAUUUGUUUUUGAGGAAAGGUAUUUGGGAAUUUAAAUUUUUCUUUGAGGAAGGAGACGAUUGAGAAUCUUUAUUUUGGGGAGAUUAGAAUUUUUCAAAGUGUUUUAACCAGAAUUCAUCUGGAAUUAAAUUCAUAUUAAUUAUCGAUUUUACUCCACUGUUUAUUAUUUUGACGAUAAUUUAAUAUAUGAUUUCUUGAUACAUAUAUUCAUAAAAAUUUUAAAAUCAAAUUUGAUCUCUUGUUGAUGAAUCUAUCUCGGUUGUAAGUGUUGAAUAUGAUGGAUAGAUAUUCACUAAUCGACUAAAAUUUUGUUAAAAUUACUUUCAAUUGUGAGAUUGUCUAAUUAAGGGAGAGUUUUGAUGUAUUUAAUAAAAAAAGGAAAGAUACUCCUAUGUUUAAAAAAUGUGGAAAGAGUUACAUCUCAAAAGGAGUAUGAAAACUACCACCACAUGUAGGAAAGAGCUACCACCUCGGUCGUCCGGCAAGUGUGUGAAGCUACCAUAUGAAGAUUGAAUUGAUUAACCGAAAAGGUUGGAAAAAAUUGAAUAUUUUAGAAUUUUCGGAGUUAUAAGGUGUUAGUCUGAAAAAGAUGCUCAAAGAGCCACCCCCGGUAUCAUAUUAGUUAAAUCUCUAUUUUGAACGGAUUGUGACAAAUUGGCGUCAAUUUUGCCGAAUUUCUAAAAAUCAUUUUUCGUGAACCAUUACAUUUUGAUGAUUUUGAAACUCGAGGUCAUUUUUUAUAAUGAAAUUUUGGUGUUUUCGAUGAAUCUUGAAAUCUUAUAAUAUCUUGUCUUCAUUAUAAUGAUUUUUGGAGUAAAAUUCUUAAUUUAUAUAAAAUUAAUUUAAGUUAGAUGGUUUUUUAAAGCAAAUUUUUUAAAAUCUGGGGCUGUGUACCAGUACACAAGCCCGUGUACCGGUACGGUUACUAUAGCAGCGGCUUAUAUAACCGGUUAUAGGGUCUUAUUUCUUCCACAAUUCAAAACCAAAUCUCCUUCACUCUGUUUCUACGACUCCUUGGGAUCCUCCUCCUCUAGAUCCACGAAGUUCCCCCUUAAAUUUGUAAGUCUUUUGUUGGGAUUUCAAGACUUCAUCUCGUUUUUGCAUUUUUUUUUGAAAAAUUCCGAGUUCAUAUUAGAUCUAUGUUUUUAAUCGUUUUUUAUGCAAUUUUUUUGCUGUAGAUUAGUGUUUAUGGAUAUUAUCUUGCUUCUAAGUCACUUCGAUCAUGUCAAAACGUAUUAAUUUUUGCUGAUUUGUGAUCUAGAUUUCGCUAUGCUUGGAAUUUCAGGAUUUAUUUUGAAAUAUCACUUUUUGAUGAAAUUUUUUUUUUCUCUAUUUUUACAAAUUUUUUCGAAAAAUUGUGUUCAUAUAUGCUCUUAUUGUGUAGGAAAAUGGCGUUUUUUCUCGUGUUGACAUUGUUGGUGCUUAUGGCCGCUGGGAGCGGUCGUGGGCAUGGCAGGGGUCGUCGAGGGGCCUCUAAAAGGACACGUACUACUGCUGAGGCAUCUGGUUCUGAUCCAGAUUAUCAAGCUAGUUCUCCCGAGGAAGCGGAAGAACCUGUUGCUCGUCCUGACAAAGGAAAGGGCAUAGCUGGAGAGUCCUCACGAGGUGGUUCUCGUGCUCGUGAGGGUCGUUCAAAACAGGCCGCGGAUAUUCCCCCAGAGCGGCGGAGGAUGUUCAUGAGCAAGUCAUGUAUUGCAGAGCGUUAUGCCAACUUCAAUGACCUUAUACAUGACGUUCUUGACUUCGGGCGGCUACUUCAGCGAGUUCCUAUUGAGUCAGUUCGUCGGUUUCCUGCUCGCGCUCCAUUUUGUAUGGAACUCAUUCGUGAUUUCUACAUGAACGGGAAGGUACUUACAGAGGAUGAGGAGACCGGGACUUUUCUAUUUGAGACUUUCGUGCGUCAACAGAAGGUCCUCAUUACCCCACAUACUAUUGGAGAGCUUUUGGGGAUGAACGUGGACACUACUGGUCUUCUCUAUACAUCAGGGGGAUUUCAAUCUUCAUCCCACUGGGAUAUAGUUAUAGAAGCUAUCUGCAAGGCUGGAGUUCAAACUAAUCGUGCUUAUGUGGAGUCCAAGGACUUGCGACCUGAGUAUCAUCUACUGUCCUUGGUUUUGAGCUACAAUGUGCAACCAACGAUUGGAACAAAAAGGAUUCGUUGGGAUCGUUUGGUUCUGCUACAUCUACUUGGUCACCCGGAGCAAGCACAUGGUUUGAACGUCAACAUCCCUUUUCUGAUGUGGCAGCGGAUGGUUCAUAUCAUUCAGGCUUCUGCCCGACGGGAUCUACUUCUAUUUCCUCUAUUGAUCACGAGGAUUCUACAGGAGAACGGAGUAGAUGUUUCUUGCGAGAAGUAUGAUUUCGGUCUUGGUCCAAUCGAUGCUGUUACGUGGGCCAAGUCGGUUAGCACGCUAAAGACUUUUCAGCAAAUGAAAGGACCAUCGCGAGCAACUUCUAGCCCGGCACCUCCACCUCGAGCAGAGCGUGAGGGAUUUUCCAGUUCAGGGGGAGUGAUUACUAUAGAAUCACUUCACCAUGAGGUGCGAUCUUUAAAGAAGAAAGUGGCAGAUCUUACUAGGAAGGUGGAAGUGGCCAUGAAGAGGAUGAUGGAAAAAUUGGGAUGUAGGCAUGAUGAUAUAUUUCCUACUCAGCCUACCUACACCGCUUAUACCAGAUUGACAUCGCGACAUCCUCUUAUUCCUCCAUCUAUUGGAGCUUCGGAUGCGGGAGGUUCUGGAGCUGGAGCUGGUGCUGGAGCUGAUGAUGAUGAUGACAAGGAUACGGAGUGAUUCCUUCCUCGAACUUAGUCUGUUUACUUCACUGUGUUUGCUUUGUAGGAUGAUGUUUAGUUUAGCUUGGUUUGUUUAUCUUACCUUAGCAUGUUUUUGUUUUUGUUUUAGGCCUGUAACUAUGACUUGAUGACUCUUUUGCUGCUUAGUGUAUUUCCUAUCUAUAUGCUUUCUUUUGGCAAUUUUUGACAAAAAGGGGGAGAUCAUAAGAAGAACAGGUAUUGAUCAAAUCAGAGGAUGGAGAGGAUGAAUUUAAAGUAAAAUGGGAAGAAGUGAUGAACAAAGGGGGAGAAGGAUCGAGUACAUUGAAUUGAAUGUAAGAUUUCUAUAUCUUUGUGGUUGAUCUGUUUUGCAAGACAUCAAGACUUCAUGACUCCUAGUUGCGUCUAAGUCAUAGAGUCUGUUUUAGGAGUUUAUGAUGUACUUUUGAGUUUCUUCUUGUAUUUGGACUACACGCGAGGAGUUCAAUGUUUUGGUGAUGAUAUUUGAACUUCGUUUUUUCUUUAAGAUGUAAUUUUUGAGUUUUUGUGAGUUUUGUCAUGAAAUUGCCAAAGAGGGAGAUUGUUAAGUCUUGUAUGUUGGCAAGUUUCGUGGAUUGAGUCGGAGUCUUGAAGGUUUCGGAGCAUAUCGUCGAAGAAUGAAGAAUCCAAGACUUCAGAGAAGGUGGAGAUAACUCACGACAUGAAUCACGAUGCUCAGGUAAAGUCUUUACUUCAUGUUAUGGUGAUUCAUACUUAGUUAUAGGCAUUAGAUGUAACAUACCGAAACCUCGGUAAUUAAAUUCGAACCUUGGUCAAAUUGACCAAAGUGCCAGAUUGGUACACUUCGGAGAGGCCGAAGGCGUCAAAUAAUGCAAAAGUGCAUUUCUGGGGACCUUUGAGAGCUUUGGAAAUCAAAAUCUGCAAACUGCAGGUUUUGUGCUCUCAGGGACCGGUCCCUGGUAGGAGAGAUCGAUCCCCGAACGCGUAGGCAGCGAGAUGGCCGAGAAAUCGGCUAAGUCCUGGAAAAUCAGCUCUCGGGAACCGGUCCUUACGAGGAGAGACCGGUACCCCAGAGACCGGUCCCAUCGGGAAAGACCGGUUGCAUCACGCGUAGCCUGCGCAGUCCGCGGGAGGAGCUCUCGGGGACCGGUCCCAGGUCGGGGAGACUGGUCCCUCACUGCGAAAAAUGCCCAAUUUGGGCAGUGCACAGAGAAAGAGUUGAGGGGCCUUGUUGUAAUUGUUACAACACAUUAUAUAACCCACCCCUCUCCCCUUUUCAUAGCACACACACACACUUCUCUCCCUCUCAUUUUCUCUCCUUUCUCUCUCUAGAAAGCAAGCCCUAGAGCUUGGAGAAGGUGGAGAAGAGCUUGGAGAAGUGGAUUUGGUGGCUUUGGUGGUCCUAGAAGCUCUCCAACAAGAAGGCUUUGGUGGAGCUUGGGCGAAGGUAAGUCUUUAAGCAAAAGUGAGUCUAGGAUUUGGGUUUAGACCUUAGAUUUUUGGGUUUUGAUCUCUCUACAAGUGAGGAAACCCUCUAGAGACCUUGAAACCAUGAAAUCCAUGGUUGUCUUGGACCCCUCUCAUGGUGAACUUCUAGGGUUCAUCUUGGAUGCCUUAGAAAUGGCCUAGUUGGCCUUAGGUAAGCUCCUAGAGGUUAAACAUGCUCUCUUUUGCUUGUUUUAGAGAUCAAAACCUAGGGUUUAGCAAUGGGUUUAGUUAGGGCACCAAAUUUGGGGCUUUUGCCCCCGAUUGUUUCUAAGGCGAAUUGACCUUAUAGAAACCUAAUUGGGGGUGUCCUCGGCACGUUGGACAACUCCGUUCGACGUUACGAAAAUGUCUAAGUAUGGUUCAUGUACAAAAGGCCUAAAGUGGCACUAUUUUGGUUGUAGGUUGCGGUAUCGACUUUCGUAAAGUUCGGGAGUCGUCAUAUUCUACGCCCACACGACCACUCGAGGUGGGUGGUGCAUUCCAAGGACCUCGGAAAUUUCUUUAUGUCUAAAGUGUCAUGUUUGAACAUAUAUGUAUAUAUUGAGCAUAUUGCAUAGUAGGGUUAAUUGUAAGCUUUAUUGCAUGAUUGUGAAUUUAUUUUCGUAUGAAAUAUUGGUAAGAAUGUGAGAAUUGUAAACCCUAUUUAUGGAUGACAAGUGGCAAGAAUCUAGAAGGGUUAGUGAACAAAAGUGACACAUGGACAUAGAUCUAGCAAGUGACAUCGAUGAGUCUAGAACACUUAGAAAAAUGAGUGUGACAUUUGGUAUGAGAAUGAGAACAUAGCACUUAGAAAACAAGUAUGGCAUGAGUACAACUCGGUAGUAUAUAUGACACUAGUGAUAGAAAAGAAUGAUUGAGACGUUAUGACAUUUCAACCUUAGAGUUCAAGGUCAUUUGUGCAUGGUCUUCCUUAAAGUUAAGAAAUGGAUUUAACUUGGAAUCCUCAAUGUAGGAUUGAUCGUACUCACCUUUAGUCCUUGCUCGAGGGUGGUAGCUCCCCCUCGGGCGAUGUGCUCCGGAGUCGACAUCACUAGGUCGUAGCGAGUAUCUCCCCAGAGGACGGUCCUAUCGGGUUAUAACAGGUAUCUCCCCGGUUAAAUAGGAUUUUGGGUUGGUGAGGUUGUUGAGGGCGAAACCUACGGGGUUAGCCAAGAGAUUGGGUAAAGAAAUUAUAAUAUUGCAUUCAUCAUGAGCAUUAUAUCGAGCAUCGCAUUUUUAUUGUUCAGGCAUACUAGUUGCAUUUGUUAGUUGAUUACCAUCUUUCUUCUAUUCUAUUAUGCCUGAUUAGACCUAGUGGGAUAGUCGGCGUGGUUAGUUGCCGAACUCACUGGGAACUUUGUUGUAGUUCUCACCCUACUAUUUCCACAGAGCCGGGACCGAGCGAGCCGGCAGACGACCGCGGUAAGGGCAUCGUGCCCUAGGUAGAGACCGCCCGAGAUGUUUCAUUUCAUAGUUGCAUAUCCCUUUUGAUACAUCAUCUUUUAUACUUUGAUGAUUAUAGUUGUUAAAUGAAAGGAUAGGAAUGAUGUAAAAGAAUUCAUUUAAUAUCAAUGUUAUAUUUUGGAAGAUUGGGAUGUAAAAAGAAAUGAUGGAAAAUUGUAAUUAAUUUCCUAAGUGUAGUUAUUUACUUUCACUAUUGGCUAUUGCUUGCCCUCGUGCAAGCCAUUGUGUAUGCUUCCGCUUAUGCAAACUUUAUACUCUAUUAAUACUUGUUGUUGAGCCUUGGGCGGAUAGGGGAGGCUCUGUCCGUUGGGCGUCUGUUCGACGCUCUCGAACCGGCCAAAAGGAUCGGGCUCGGAGCGUGACAUUAGAAUCAUUAUUAUUCAUGUUUAAUUGAUUAGAAAGUGCUUCGAAACUCUGCGGACCCCGAAACAGUGCUAAGUCUGAAAAAUGCACUGUGCACCGGUAUAGCAAUUGACCCGUAUCGGUACAGCCAUCGACUUUGGCUUUGCAGAUUUUUGUUCCGUCGUUGUGUAACCGGUGGCAGCCUUACGUGUACCGGUACACUGUGUAAAAUUGUGAAAACUUUCUAAUCCGACUCCGAUUGAUUCUAAAGUCUAUAAAUAAGUUAUUGGGGUUCUCUAACUGAGCAAGCAUCACGAAAAUACAUAUUUGAGAAACUCUAGAGGCUUGGAUUUCAUCUAAAACCUAUUUUCUACAUUUUAGCCUCUUUAAGGUCAAAUCGAGAUAUUGAAAUUUCUUAUCUAUAUGUCGAUUUGAUCUUCGCUUCGCUUGGAGUUUUCUUCCCUGGUUUUCAUCGAUACUCUAAGCGAAGGAUCACCAUACACAUGAUGUUCUUCAUGACGGCGUCGUGGAUUCGGCGUGAUUGACGGCGGUUCGUGGUUUCGAAUCGAGAGCUUCGUGGAUUCGGAGUGGAGGCAUUUCGUGGAUUCGGAAUGAGGCGUUCGUGGAUUCGAACGUGUGGGCGUGGACAACCCGGAGGAUUGCGCAAGAUUCAUAGGAGGUUAAGAGAGGUUGAGUCCGUGGAGUCAGUAAUCACCUUGUAAUCUUUUCUCUUAGUAAAUUUGUCACGCCCCGGGACCCAGCAUAGGCCCGCCCGGCGCGUGUCCAGACCCGCCAUAUGCCUGCGCAUAUAAGGCGUCUACAACAAAAGAUAUGCGUAAGUAAGAAGAAACAAGUAUCUAGAGAUAUCAGAGCUGCGAACAACUAAAAACUAGCGACAAGUAGAGAAGGAGUAAAGUAGUCCACUAAGCAUAAGCAUAAAAAGGUACAAUAAGAAUCACAAAGAAAUCCACAGUGGGGUGGUCUCUAUACACAGGUAACUCUCCAAAACCUCUCCAAAAUAAAACAACGAGGGCUAGACCACCUAUCAACGCGUCCUCGAUAGCAAGCUAGCUCGAGGCGAUACCCUUUCCGCGGUCCCUAGCCUCGCCCGGAGUGGAAGGCUCUGAAAUAAAACAUAAAACAAAAGGGCGUGAGAACUAUAAUUUAUAGUUCCCAGUGGGCAAUUACUGACCUCAGCUCAAUACACCACUAGGCCCCAAAAGAAAGGGUAAGUACGAUAAGCAACAAUAGUAGUAAUAGACAAUAAUAA